AGCGAACGCUGGCGGCAGGCCUAACACAUGCAAGUCGAACGAACUCUUCGGAGUUAGUGGCGGACGGGUGAGUAACACGUGGGAACGUGCCUUUAGGUUCGGAAUAACUCAGGGAAACUUGUGCUAAUACCGAAUGUGCCCUUCGGGGGAAAGAUUUAUCGCCUUUAGAGCUGCCCGCGUCUGAUUAGCUAGUUGGUGAGGUAAAGGCUCACCAAGGCGACGAUCAGUAGCUGGUCUGAGAGGAUGAUCAGCCACAUUGGGACUGAGACACGGCCCAAACUCCUACGGGAGGCAGCAGUGGGGAAUCUUGCGCAAUGGGCGAAAGCCUGACGCAGCCAUGCCGCGUGAAUGAUGAAGGUCUUAGGAUUGUAAAAUUCUUUCACCGGGGACGAUAAUGACGGUACCCUGAGAAGAAGCCCCGGCUAACUUCGUG
rnacentral:rRNA from 1 species